GCUGGCGGCAGGCCUAACACAUGCAAGUCGAGCGGUAGAGAAGUGCUUGCACUUCUUGAGAGCGGCGGACGGGUGAGUAAUGCCUAGGAAUCUGCCUAGUGGUGGGGGAUAACGUUCGGAAACGGUCGCUAAUACCGCAUACGUCCUACGGGAGAAAGCGGGGGACCUUCGGGCCUCGCGCCAUUAGAUGAGCCUAGGUCGGAUUAGCUAGUUGGUGAGGUAAAGGCUCACCAAGGCGACGAUCCGUAACUGGUCUGAGAGGAUGAUCAGUCACACUGGAACUGAGACACGGUCCAGACUCCUACGGGAGGCAGCAGUGGGGAAUAUUGGACAAUGGGCGAAAGCCUGAUCCAGCCAUGCCGCGUGUGUGAAGAAGGUCUUCGGAUUGUAAAGCACUUUAAGUUGGGAGGAAGGGCAGUAACUUAAUACGUUGCUGUUUUGACGUUACCGACAGAAUAAGCACCGGCUAACUCUGUGCCAGCAGCCGCGGUAAUACAGAGGGUGCAAGCGUUAAUCGGAAUUACUGGGCGUAAAGCGCGCGUAGGUGGUUUGUUAAAUUGGAUGUGAAAGCCCCGGGCUCAACCUGGGAACUGCAUCCAAAACUGGCAAGCUAGAGUACAGUAGAGGGUGGUGGAAUUUCCUGUGUAGCGGUGAAAUGCGUAGAUAUAGGAAGGAACACCAGUGGCGAAGGCGACCACCUGG
rnacentral:rRNA from 1 species